rnacentral:tRNA from 1 species
UCUAAGAUAGCUCAGUGGUAGAGCGCCCGGCUCGAGGACCGAGUGGACGUAGGUUCGAGCCCUACUCUUAGAA